rnacentral:lncRNA from 1 species
AAGCAGCAGCAUAGAUGAACACAGUAUGAAUAGAAAAAAGUUAAAGAAAAGUAACUGUAAGUUUCUAACUUCAUUAUCCUUUUAAUGUUGCAUUUUGUUACGUGAUAUAUGCUAUUUGUUUUUAUGCUUUACUUCAUUUAUGUUGCAUCAUUUCAGCUUGUACUCCAUACUUUUUAAUGUAUGGGCUAUAAAUUAUUCUGUUCGUUAUAUGACAAAUUCAAGGACAAGAAUUUUCGUCUUAGAUUUAAAGAAAAAAGAUGUUGACAAUCAAAAUUCGUAGUAUUUAUCUUUAGAGUAUGGAAAACUAUCAAAAGAUGUGCUCAGUUUUGUUCUACAUGUUAAGCUAUGAUGAUGCUACGCUGUAUACAUUAUAGUUUUAUUUCUUUGUUCACAUGUGAGCAAAAUAUUGAGGCUGAAAUUUCAAGUUGACGUGUGAAAUUCCCCACACGCACUCUCUCUCUCUCUCUCUCUCUCUCUCUCUCACACACACACACACACACACACACACCUCCAAUGUUGGGGAGACAUCCACACGAGUUUAGGCUUGUCCGAGUGCUUAGUUGCUAGAGGGCACAACACACAAGCCUUGUGAUAAGGCAAGGGCCUUUCAACUCAUUCGAAGGACAGGAGUAGACUUGGGAAUAGAAGCAGGGUCAUUUUUCUGGGGUCAAGUCUACUUCUCCCCACUGUACUCAACCUCGAUUUACAAAUGCAUCACUGGACUGACAAUCAACUCAUUGAAUUGUUUUUUUUCUUUUCAAAACGUCACAAAAUCCGUUGAGUCAAGUUGACUUGAAACAUACUUGCCACAUAAGAUUCCACACAAGAGAGAAAUACGACAUGGCAAAUUAAUGCACAUGUGUAACAAAAAAACUGAUUUUAAAAUCAAACUUAAACCUUUUAAUUAAAUAUAAAGGACAAAAAUAAAAAAUUGCAAACACAAUUAAUUAAAAGAAAACUAAAACAUUUGAAACAAUAUCAAAAAUCUAACAAUCAAUUGUUUCUAUUCAUCUUGGUUUCCGAAGGUCGUGCUGCCUGGCUCCCUUUGACAGAUCUGCAACCAUCUUCAACCACAGAUUUGCAACACCAAAAUUGACCGUUAACAACCGUCAGCCACCAUUGUCAUCUACAUUGACCAUCAUAGAUCUGUCACACGCGCACAAUUGGUACCAUAUUUUUCAAUUUACAUCCACAUCAUUUAAUUGAUUCGGAUGGUCAAAAAAUUAGAAAGUGAGUCAUUGAAAUGAUUAAAAUGUUCAGCCUUGUGUUUCAAAGGAUUAAAAUGUUCAACUAUAAUCACUGGAGGCAACUCAAUGGGUGAUUCACGACUAACUUUCCCAUUUGAGUAUGAGCAAGAGAUAAAUUGAAAAACAAAUUGCAGUUGGAGAAGGAACCCUACUCAAUUCCACCGCUAUAAAAAAAUUUCAAAGAAAAUCAUACCUAUAAGAGUCCCAUCUCUGAUUUACAUAUUCAACCAUCUAAAUUAGGACCUCCUCUAGGGACCGGAGAUACACAAUCCCUUCGAACCCACUUUCUGUCCCCAAAGAUCGGUAAAGAUUUUAAUUUCAAUAGACAACCAAACUUUUCUCCCCUUCUCAGAUUUAUAAAUUUAUAUUGAUAUAUAUAGAUAUAUAUAAAGAGAGAGAAAGAAGAGAUAUAGUAGAAAAUUUAUUGGGGAUGAUAGAUUUAGUUUGUUUGGGUUCCUGUAUUAAUGAUGAUUAAGUGGCCUCAACUUUCUUUAUUUUACUUUUUUGUUUUUGUUUUUUGUUUAAGUACUUGUAAACUUGUUUAAUUGUUUAAGUUAUUAUUUUUUUAUUUACUUUGUAUAGUUCAUUUGAAUGUUAGCUUGUUUUUAUUGGUUUUAGUGUACUAUACUUAAUAUUUUUAAUUUUGUAAAUUUAUAAUCUAUCGAAAAAUUAAAAGAUAUUUGAUAAAGUUAUAGUAUACCAAAAUAUUUUUUUCAUCCGACAUGGCGCCACUAGAUUUUUGUAAUUAUCCAUGUAAGUAUCGGACAUGGCGCCACAUAGAUUUUUCGUAAACAUUUAACACCCAUAGACGAAAAUUCAAUUUUUUAUAAAAAAAAUUAGUUCAAUGAUGUGACUGAGUUUUUUCUCAGUCUAGUGACGCAUUUGUAAACUAAGAUCGAGUACAGUGGGGAAAAAUAGAUUUAACCCCAUUUUUCUAUGUUUUUUCCUUUUCUUUUGUCGUGCUGAGGACAAGCUAUUUGUCCGUUCCGUUUUCAUUUUGCUAUUAUUAACCUCCCUUGACACUGGCAUCAAGAAAGAAUAUGAAUAAGAUGGAUGAUAUAAAGCAUUCUAAUUUUUCUUUUCCUUUUUUGUGUCUGACACCCACCAUAAACAUUCAUAAAAUCAUCCUUUUUGGUGGGGUGAUGGUGUAGUAGAAGAAAGGAUGUCACAGUUGAUUGGAUGGACAAGUAUGUCUUUAUAAAUAUAAAGGAGGACUGAAAGCUCUUAACUUUGAUUCCUUUAAUUGUGCUUUUCUUCCCCAAGAAGCAUGGAGAAUUCUUCAGGAGCCCUCCCUUGCGGAUUGAACACUGUAUAACAAAUACUGUAAAAGUUCCUCAUUUUUGGAUGUGUCGGCUUCCACCUAUAGUAUUUGUCUUGGCAAUGAAUUCUGUAUGGCAGGGACUUCUAAAGAAAGGGUUGGGUUUGGGCAACAGGUGCAGUGUUCCGCAUGCUGGAUCCUCUACUAUUCUAUGUUCUUCCUGAAAGCUUGUCAAUCCGAUGUUGUGCGGAGCUGAGCAUCUUCUAUUCGUUGGGAUAAAGUUUUUCCUCUGCAGGGGCCUUGUGCAGUAAACCCCCUAUGGGCGGUCGUCCGUCAUCAUAAUGUAGUCUAGGCAUUAAAAUUAAUGUCUGGUCUGAUUCAUGCCUUACUGGGGGUUCCAGAAAGAAUGGUUGGCCUUUCAAAUUUUGGAACAGUCAUUUCAGUAGCAGUAUAACAGUUAAUUAUGUAAUUGAUGAAGACCAUCGUUGGAAUAUAGACAAUUCUUAGCCGUCCACUUCCUCUUCUAGUGUACUUGGCCUCGGCCACAAGCCAAUCAGUGAUUUGGUUAAGUAUUGUGAUUGGAACAUUAACA